AUGCCCACUGAUUAUGAAAAGACGCGUUAUUCUGAGGAAUUCAACCAGCUACCAGUCUUUCUUCUGUCUUUUACUCCAUCUUUGAUCUCCUCCAUCUUUCCUCUCCUCUCCUCUCCUCUCCUCUCCUCUCCUCUUUAAACUGGUGGCUGGUCCGCUGACUGCGAUUAUGAGAUAUGAGGGCAU